UACAGAGGUCCCAAGCGUUGUUCGGAUUCAUUGGGCGUAAAGGGUGCGUAGGCGGCGCGGUAAGUCGGGUGUGAAAUCUCGGAGCUUAACUCCGAAACUGCAUUCGAUACUGCCGUGCUUGAGGACUGGAGAGGAGACUGGAAUUUACGGUGUAGCGGUGAAAUGCGUAGAUAUCAAGUGGAACACCAGUGGCGAAGGCGAGUCUCUGGACAUUUCCUGACGCUGAGGCACGAAAGCCAGGGGAGCAAACGGG
rnacentral:rRNA from 1 species